UAGGAUUCCCUUAGUAAUGGCGAAUGAACAGGGAUGAGCUCAACAUGGAAAUUGUGGCUUCUGGCUUUGAAUUGUAAUCUCAAGAUGUAUUGCUAAUGGGGGCGUAGAUGUAAGCCGCUUGGAAAAGCGAAUCAUUGAGGGUGAGAAUCCUGUUUGUCAUCUGCAGACCUCCGUGUACGGCAUACUUUCUAAGAGUCACGUUCCUCGGGAUUGGAGCGCAAACUGGGUGGUAAAUUUCAUCUCAAGCUAAAUAUGGGUUCGAAACCGAUAGCAAACAAGUACCAUGAGGGAAAGAUGAAAAGGACUUUGAAAAGAGAGUUAAAAGUGCCUGAACUUGCUGAAAGGAAAGCGGAUGGAACCAGUGUUGCUUGGUGAGAUUGUUGUGUGCUACGGUGAUAUCUCGCUGCAUCAACGCAAGUGGUGCUGUGGUUUCUGAUCUGGACGCACGCGAUGCUUCUUGCCUUGUGUGUCACCGUCGGUUUGGGGGUGAGGACAACUCUUGGGACAUGGUAGUUUGGCCUCGGCUGAGCGAAUGUGCCUUGCAGGACUCACUUUCAAACCGCAAACGUUAAUGUGAGGUUGUGCAGCCUUGUCUUCCUACGUUUCCUGUGCUAGCACAGGUUCACGUGUGUGCGAGUACUGGGCACCUUCCUGACAUUUCUAAUGGUGACUAAAUGGUUCUAUUCGACCCGUCUUGAAACACGGACCAAGGAGUCUAACAUAUAUGCAAGUUCAUGGGUGGUGAAACUUGCGUGCGGAAUGAAAGUGAUUACUGAGAUGCUUGCAUCAGUAGCCGACCGAUCAACUGGGAGAGGUUUGAGCAUGAGCAUAUCUGUUAGGACCCGAAAGAUGGUGAACUAUGCCUGUGAAGGGUGAAGUCUGGGGAAACUCAGAUGGAGGCUCGUAGCGAUACUGACGUGCAAAUCGUUCGUCAUACAUGGGUAUAGGGGCGAAAGACUAAUCGAACCAUCUAGUAGCUGGUUCCCUCCGAAGUUUCCCUCAGGAUAGCUGGAGUUGAACAGUUUUAUCAGGUAAAGCGAAUGAUUAGAGGAAUCGGGGACGUGCUGUCCUCGACCUAUUCUCAAACUUUAAAUGGGUAAGCUCCAGUUGUUACUUAAUUGAACUUCUGGGAUAAAUUACAACUCUAAGUGGGCCAUUUUUGGUAAGCAGAACUGGCGAUGAGGGAUGAACCUAACGUUGGGAUAAGGUGCUUAACUGCUCGCUCAUCAGAUACCACAAAGGGUGUUGGUUCAUUCUAACAGCAGGACGGUGGUCAUGGAAGUCGAAAUCCGCUAAGGAGUGUGUAACAACUCACCUGCCGAAU
rnacentral:rRNA from 1 species